GGUGGAAGCAAACGAGACUGGCGUUGAAAAGGGCAAUUCAUCAUUUUCAUGUGGAUAUAUUAGUCUAUAAAAUUACUGUAAAUAGCAACAAUGUAGGGUUACACAUCUGGAAAAAUUGGUUCUAAGACGGUGUCUAUUGGAAGAUAUCCAGUGUUGCUCAAUUACCCCACCUCUGCUGAUUUUUCCGUGAAAUCCUGGCUUACGAUUGGUUGAAGUCUGUCACAUGAAAGCGGUGGAUUACUUAUACAUGAUAUCUAGGGGCGUGCUGUGCAGCUGUUACGAGGAUAAAGAAAUUGCUGCCUCACCGGUUUUGAUGUUUCCUCAACAUUCAAAUCUUUUAGAACAUUCCUGCCCAGAGUAAAUGUAAAUACAUGUACC